rnacentral:rRNA from 1 species
AUUGAACGCUGGCGGCAGGCUUAACACAUGCAAGUCGAGCGGAGCGAGGGUGGUUGCACCUUAGCUUAGCGGAGGACGGGUGAGUAAUGCUUAGGAAUCUGCCUAUUAGUGGGGGACAACAUUCCGAAAGGAAUGCUAAUACCGCAUACGCCCUACGGGGGAAAGCAGGGGAUCUUCGGACCUUGCGCUAAUAGAUGAGCCUAAGUCGGAUUAGCUAGUUGGUGGGGUAAAGGCCUACCAAGGCGACGAUCUGUAGCGGGUCUGAGAGGAUGAUCCGCCAAACUGGGCCUGAGAAACGGCCCAGACUCCUACGGGAGGCAGCAGUGGGGAAUAUUGGACAAUGGGAGGAAGCCUGAUCCAGCCAUGCCGCGUGUGUGAAGAAUGCCUUUUGGUUGUAAAGCACUUUAAGCGAGGAGGAGGCUCUUAAGGUUAAUACCCUUGAUGAGUGGACGUUACUCGCAGAAUAAGCACCGGCUAACUCUGUGCCAGCCGCCGCGGUACAAC